rnacentral:rRNA from 1 species
AGAGCGAACGCUGGCGGCAGGCUUAACACAUGCAAGUCGAGCGCCCCGCAAGGGGAGCGGCAGACGGGAGAGUAACACGUGGGAACGUACCUUUCGGUUCGGAACAACCCAGGGAAACUUGGGCUAAUACCGGAUACGUCCGUAAGGAGAAAGAUUUAUCGCCGAAAGAUCGGCCCGCGUCUGAUUAGCUAGUUGGUGAGGUAACGGCUCACCAAGGCGACGAUCAGUAGCUGGUCUGAGAGGAUGAUCAGCCUCACUGGGACUGAGACACGGCCCAGACUCCUACGGGAGGCAGCAGUGGGGAAUAUUGGACAAUGGGCGCAAACCUGAUCCAGCCAUGCCGCGUGGGUGAUGAAGGCCCUAGGGUUGUAAAGUCCUUUUAACGGGGAGAUAAUGACGGUACCCGUAGAAUAAGCCCGGCUAACUUCGUGCCAGCAGCCGC